UGGGGGACAACCGUGGAAACUACGGCUAAUACCGCAUGAUGCCUGAGGGCCAAAGACGAAAGUCGUUUGAGGAGGAGCCUGCGUCUGAUUAGGGUAGUUGGUGGGGUAAAGGCCCUACCCAAGCCUACGAGUCAGUAGCUGGUCUGAGAGGAUGAUCAGCCACAUUGGGACUGAGACACGGCCCAAACUCCUACGGGAGGCAGCAGUGGGGAAUAUUGGACAAUGGGCGCAAGCCUGAUCCAGCAAUGCCGCGUGGGUGAAGAAGGUCUUCGGAUUGUAAAGCCCUUUUGGCGGGGACGAUGAUAACGGUACCCGCAGAAUAAGCUCCGGCUAACUUCGUG
rnacentral:rRNA from 1 species